GACGAACGCUGGCGGCGUGCUUAACACAUGCAAGUCGAACGGUGAAGCGCCUUCCUUUUUGGUGGGUGUGGAUGAGUGGCGAACGGGUGAGUAACACGUGAGUAACCUGCCCCCUUCUUCUGGAUAACCGCAUGAAAGUGUGGCUAAUACGGGAUAUUCUGGGUCUGUCGCAUGAUGGGUCUGGGAAAGAUAUUGUUUCGGUGGGGGAUGGGCUCGCGGCCUAUCAGCUUGUUGGUGGGGUGAUGGCCUACCAAGGCGGUGACGGGUAGCCGGCCUGAGAGGGUGGACGGUCACACUGGGAAUGAGACACGGCCCAGACUCCUACGGGAGGCAGCCGGGGGGAAUAUUGCACAAUGGGCGCAAGCCUGAUGCAGCGACGCCGCGUGAGGGAUGGAGGCCUUCGGGUUGUGAACCUCUUUCGCCAGUGAAGCAGGCCUGCCUCGUUUGUGGGUGGGUUGACGGUAGCUGGAUAAGAAGCGCCGGCUAACUACGUG
rnacentral:rRNA from 1 species